rnacentral:rRNA from 1 species
GAUGAACGCUAGCGGCAGGCCUAACACAUGCAAGUCGAGGGGCAUCAUGGCGUAGCAAUACUCUGAUGGCGACCGGCAGACGGGUGAGUAACGCGUAUGUAACCUACCCUGUACAGGGGGAUAACCCGGAGAAAUUCGGACUAAUAUCCCAUGGAAAUAUUGAGAGGCAUCUUUUGAUAUUUAAAGUUCCGGCGGUACGGGAUGGGCAUGCGUAACAUUAGCUAGUUGGUAAGGUAACGGCUUACCAAGGCUUUGAUGUUUAGGGGUCCUGAGAGGGUGAUCCCCCACACUGGUACUGAGACACGGACCAGACUCCUACGGGAGGCAGCAGUGAGGAAUAUUGGUCAAUGGGCGCAAGCCUGAACCAGCCAUCCCGCGUGCAGGAAGACGGCGCUAUGCGUUGUAAACUGCUUUUCCAGGGGGAGAAACUUGCGUACGUGAUACGCAAUUGACGGUACCCUGGGAAUAAGCAUCGGCUAACUCCGUG